CUUGACCGCUGGCGGCAGGCCUAACACAUGCAAGUCGGGCGAGAGGCGGACGGGGGAGUAAUGUAUGGGGAUCUGCCUGAUGGAGGGGGAUAACUACUGGAAACGGUAGCUAAUACCGCAGACACUCAGAUGAACCCAUAUGGGAUUAGCUUGUAGGUAAGGUAACGGCUUACCUAGGCGACGAACCCUAGCUGGUCGGAGAGGAUGAUCAGCCACACUGGGACUGAGACACGGCCCAGACUCCUACGGGAGGCAGCAGUGGGGAAUAUUGCACAAUGGGCGCAAGCCUGAUGCAGCCAUGCCGCGUGUAUGAAGAAGGCCUUCGGGUUGUAAAGUACUUUCAGUCGGGAGGCGUUACCGACAGAGUCAGCUCCGGCUAACUCCGUGCCAGCAGCCGCGGUCCUUC
rnacentral:rRNA from 1 species